GCCCGGCUAGCUCAGUAGGUAGAGCAUGAGACUCCUAAUCUCAGAGUCAUGGGUUUGAGCCCCAUGCUGAGCA